GAGAGAGAUGCAGAGAGAAAGAGGUGGAGAGAGAGAUGCAGAGAGAAAGAGGUAGAGAGAAAGAGGUAGGGCAGCAAUGGAUAAAGAAAGAACAGAGGUGAGCAGAGGAGAGAAAAGAUAGGGAGAGGGAAAGAUGAGAUAGAAAGAGGGAAAGAUGAGAUAAAAAGAGGGAAAGAUGAGAUAAAAAGAGGGAAAGAUGAGAUAGAAAGAGAGAAAGAUGAGAUAGAAAGAGGGAAAGAUGAGAUAGAAAGAGGGAAAGGUGGGAAAGAUAGAAGUAUUAGUAUAAAAGUAUAUGAAUGAUAGAGAGAAAGCUAGGGAUGUAAGGUAAAUAUAUCAGUCUAAAAUCAAAUCGAAAGGAAUCAAAUCUAAUGGAAAUUAAAUGAAAAAUGUCGUCUGACACAAAGCAAACUUUCCACAGCCAAUCCAAACUCGUUUCCAAUGUUCUUUGACAUACCAGUCUUCAUUUAGAAUGUCAGAUUUGUAACACAUGUGUAACACAAUAUAUAUAAGUCCAAGUUCAAGUUCAAGUAUUUUUAUUAGUGUAGUGAAAUGUAAAAGGGUCUACGCUCCACACUGCGCAAAAAUAAAGUAAAAAAU
ensembl:lncRNA